GACGAACGCUGGCGGCGUGCUUAACACAUGCAAGUCGAACGGAAAGGCCCUGCUUUUGUGGGGUGCUCGAGUGGCGAACGGGUGAGUAACACGUGAGUAACCUGCCCUUGACUUUGGGAUAACUUCAGGAAACUGGGGCUAAUACCGGAUAGGAGCUCCUGCUGCAUGGUGGGGGUUGGAAAGUUUCGGCGGUUGGGGAUGGACUCGCGGCUUAUCAGCUUGUUGGUGGGGUAGUGGCUUACCAAGGCUUUGACGGGUAGCCGGCCUGAGAGGGUGACCGGCCACAUUGGGACUGAGAUACGGCCCAGACUCCAACGGGAGGCAGCAGUGGGGAAUAUUGCACAAUGGGCGGAAGCCUGAGGCAGCAACGCCGCGUGCGGGAUGACGGCCUUCGGGUUGUAAACCGCUUUCGCCUGUGACGAAGCGUGAGUGACGGUAAUGGGUAAAGAAGCACCGGCUAACUACGUG
rnacentral:rRNA from 1 species